rnacentral:rRNA from 1 species
AGAGUUUGAUCAUGGCUCAGAGCGAACGCUAGCGGCGGGCCUAACACAUGCAAGUCGAGCGCGUACCUUCGGGUACGAGCGGCGGACGGGUGAGUAACACGUAGGUAAUCUACCCUCUGGUGGGGAAUAACCCGGGGAAACCCGGGCUAAUACCGCAUAUGGCCUUCGGGUCAAAGCCUUCGGGCGCCAGAGGACGAGCCUGCGGCGCAUUACCUAGUUGGUAGGGUAAUGGCCUACCAAGGGGACGAUGCGUAGCUGGUCUGAGAGGAUGAUCAGCCACACUGGGACUGAGACACGGCCCAGACUCCUACGGGAGGCAGCAGUGGGGAAUAUUGCGCAAUGGGCGAAAGCCUGACGCAGCCACGCCGCGUGGGUGAUGAAGGCCUUCGGGUUGUAAAGCCCUGUCGGGAGGGAAGAAGUUCUGACGGUACCUCCCAAGAAAGCACCGGCUAACUCCGUGCCAGCAGCCGCGGUA